rnacentral:rRNA from 1 species
AUUGAACGCUGGCGGCAGGCUUAACACAUGCAAGUCGAGCGAGCGGCGGACGGGUGAGUAAUGUCUGGGAAACUGCCUGAUGGAGGGGGAUAACCACUGGAAACGGUAGCUAAUACCGCAUACCAUCAGAUGUGCCCAGAUGGGAUUAGCUAGGUGGUGGGGUAAUGGCUCACCUAGGCGACGAUCCCUCGCUGGUCUGAGAGGAUGACCAGCCACACUGGCACGGAGACACGGUCCAGACUCCUACGGGAGGCAGCAGUGGGGAAUAUUGCACAAGGGGCGCAAGCCUGAUACAGCCAUGCCGCGUGUGUGAAGAAGGCCUUAGGGUUGUAAAGCACUUUCAGCGAGGAGGCGUUACCCGCAGAAGAAGCACCGGCUAACUCCGUGCCAGCAGCCGCGGUAAUUC